UGGUCUAUGUUAGUAGCUUGGACAAUCUACAUAGUACUUUAAAGAAGUUUUUUAAGUGAUGGUUUGGACCGUAUGUGGUAACAAUUACUCAUGAUAAUGUAACUUAUUUGUUGCGGGAGUUAGAUGGAACAAGGUUAAAAAUACCAAUUAUAAGGAAGCGAGUAAAAAUAUUUAAAUAAAAAUAUACGGAAAUAAAUAUAGAAGACCUUAUUGAGGACAUAGAUAUUCAUCAACAGGAAGAUGAAUUUGACUUGAAUAACAAAAGUGAUGAAGAGGAUUUGAAUGGAAACUUGAAGAACAUAUUAUGAAUCAAACAACAACUAGGUGAUUUGGUGCAUACCAUUAGAUGCACAGGUUCAGAGGGGAUGUAUGUCGUAUUGUAACAUGACUAUAUGAUGAAAAUAUAAAUUAAAAAGAUUUUAUUAAUAUUUAGUCAUCUUGGAUGUUAGAAAUAGUGGCCAAUUCCAGUACCAAUAUUCAAGGGCCAGUUAAUGUCACUCUAUUGUAAGUUAUACCACCGUAUGUGACAUCAGCAAUAUGCUCUACCAACGUCAUCAAAUUUAGUAUCCUCCAUAUCAACGGGACAACUAGAAUUAUUUUCUAACCCUAUAUGGAACAAGCCUAGUAGGUAUGUACCGAUGGAGACAACCAAUAUGCUUGAUGGGGGUACAAGAAGACUAUUUCGUUGUUUCUAUUACAAACAGAUUGGUCAUUAUGCUAAUGAAUGGUCCAAUCCCAGACCCAGUGACAAUUGUGCACUAGUGUGUGGGAAUUGCAAGCAGUCAGAGCAUACUUAUUAGCAAAAUAAUGCUCCGUUCAAUUUUAAUAAUCAAGAUCCGCAAAUCCAAAGUCAAGAAAGAAAUUGAAGAGAUAAAUGGAAGACUCUAAGAUUCUCUGAUAAAUUGAGUGGAAUGUGUCUAAGCCGUUCUUACCGAGAGUCCGCAAAAGGAGAUAGGACCAAUUCAACAAUUAG
rnacentral:lncRNA from 1 species